UACGGGGGGAGCAAGCGUUGUUCGGAUUUACUGGGCGUAAAGGGCGCGUAGGUGGCCAACUAAGUCAUACGUGAAAUCCCUCGGCUUAACCGGGGAACUGCGUGUGAUACUGGAUGGCUUGAGUUCGGGAGAGGGAUGCGGAAUUCCAGGUGUAGCGGUGAAAUGCGUAGAUAUCUGGAGGAACACCGGUGGCGAAGGCGGCAUCCUGGACCGGUAUUGACGCUGAGGCGCGAAAGCUAGGGGAGCAAACGGG
rnacentral:rRNA from 1 species